AACCUCUCUGUCCUUAUUACUUCUUAUUAAUUGCAACAAUGAUUGAGGUCUAUGUUGGUCUAUCUCAACAAGUUUCAAUCAUCAUACUUGUUAUAAGUGAAGCUAUCACUUUCCAUAAUAUCAUCUCAUGAUCUCUCAUGCUAUCGUUCUUUUCAUACUUUUGAUCACGGCACAAAACAAAGCCCUUGACUAAGAUACUCUUUAUUAUAUAGCUCGCAAGCUCGAAUACAUCGGGGGAGAGACAAAAGUAAAAGACUCAAUCUAAAACAGUAAAGACUUAUUCCACUAAGAGAAGAAAUAAAAACUGAAAAGGAAAGGACUAAAACAAAGGUAAAAGCAAAAGAUAUAAAGGUGAUACGAUACCAGGGCAACUCCCCCAAGCUUGGCAAAAGCCAAGGGGAUUGCCCAUACCAAUGCUUAGUUGUCUUCCUUUGGUGGUGAUGGUGGUGGUGUUGUUGAAGUAGUCUUGAGCUUGUCUAAUUUCCACUUGAGCAAAAAGUUCUGCUCCCUCAGAUCGUCAUUUUCCUCCGCAAGCUUCAACACUCUAUGACAAAGUUCCUGCUUACUCUCGUGCAAGAAACGAGAAGGGAUAAACAAGGUCUUAGGCUUCUUCCUUUGGUCAGGGAGGCUUGACUUCUUGAACUCCACGUGAGUGCAUCCAGGUUGGGGUAAAGGAGCCUCCUCUUCAUCGGAACUCGUUUGUUCCUUCCCCUUGGGCUCAUAGUCCUCUUCCUCGUCAGUAGUCCAGCCAUAAGGCUCCAAGUCCCCAUUAAUCCUGGAGUUAGCAUGAUCAUCGGCCAUAUAGAUCUCUUCUUCUGAAUCUUGAGAAGACAUCUUGACCUAAAUCUGCGGCAGACAACAUGCUCGAAACAUCUUGACCUAAAACUGCACGAUACGGAGAUCAAAACCAUCUGGACCAGAAGGAGUGCUCCGCAAGAAAACAGAGUCCGGGAGGCACACGAGCUGCCGACAAGCCCUGUUGCCGCGGCCAGGGGGGAGGCCGCGGCAACCAAGCUUGUGGCCGCCUCCUGCGCUCUCCAGACUGCUUUUUAUUUUUCUAAUUUUCCAUAAAUUCCAAAACGGAGAAAAAUUCCUAUUGGAAAAGUUUCGGAGUCCAAUUACUUACUGAGACAUAUACCUCUUGGUUUUUAGGGUCUCAAACAGGCUGAUAAACAUCCCUUAUGUACUCCUCUGGAGUUAUGAUAUUGAUGAUAUUGGUCUCAACAUUUAUGGGAGUACCAGAGAUAUAAUGCUUGAUUCUUUGCCCAUUUACCACUCUAGGAAAAUUGCCUUCCGUAUUACUGAUUUUGAUGGCACCGGAAUGAUAUACUUCCUCGACAAUGUAGGGACCUUCCCAUUAAGAGAGAAGCUUGCCUGCGAAGAAUCUCAAACGAGAAUUGUAUAGUAGGACAUAGUGACCUACAUUGAACUCUCGUUUUUGUAUUCUUUUAUCGUGCCAUCUCUUAACCUUUUCCUUGAACAACUUGGCAUUCUCGUAUGCCUGGGCCCUCCAUUCAUCUAAUGAGCUGAUAUCAAACAAUCGCUUCUCACCGGCAAGUUUGAAAUCAAAGUUGAGCUCUUUGAUUGCCCAAUAAGCUUUGUGUUCCAGCUCAAGAGGUAAAUGAGAAGCCUUACCGUAAACCAUUUUAUACGGUGACAUGCCCAUGGGAUUCUUAUAAGCAGUCCUAUAAGCCCAUAGUGCAUCGUCAAGUUUGCUAGACCAAUUCUUUUGAGAUCUAUUCACGGUCUUUUGUAAGAUCAAUUUGAUCUCCCUAUUACUCAACUCCACUUGACCACUAGACUGAGGAUGAUAAGGAGAUGCAACUCUAUGGUUGACAUCGUACUUAGCGAGCAUCUUGCGGAAAACACCAUGAAUGAAGUGUGAACCGCCAUCAGUCAUCAGAUAUCUAGGGACUCCAAAUCUUGGGAAAAUGUCUUCUUUAAGCAUCUUAAUAGAGGUGUGGUGAUCAACAUUUUUAGUGGGGAUAGCUUCUACCCACUUAGUGACGUAGUCCACAGCAAGUAAGAUGUGAGUGUAUCCAUUGGAGCUCGGGAAGGGUCCCAUAUAAUCAAAGCCCUAGACAUCAAAUGGUUCAAUGACCAGUGAAUAGUUCAUAGGCAUUUUCUGACGCUUACUGAUGUUCCCUAUUCUUUGGCAUUCGUCACAAGACAGUACAAACUUACGGGCAUCCUUGAAGAGUGUGGGCCAAUAGAAAUCUGAUUGCAAUACCUUAUGAGUUGUUCUGUCUCCAGCAUGGUGUCCUCUGUAAGCCUCGGAAUGACACUUCUUCAGGAUCUGUCCCUGUUCAUGUUCAGGCACACAAUGUCUAAUAACACCAUCUACUCCUUCCUUAUAGAGGUGAGGAUCAUCCCAAAAGUAGUGUCUCAAAUCAAAGAAGAAUUUCUUCUUUUGCUGGUAGGUGAAACUGGGUGGUAUGUAUUGGCUACGAUAUAGUUUGCGUAAUCAGCAUACCAUGGUGCACUAUGUGAAGUGCGGAUGACAUUCAAUUGCUCAUCAGGAAAGCUGUCAUCAAUAGGUCGUGGUGUUGGGGAACGUCGCAAGGGAAACAAAAAAUUUCCUACGCGCACGAAGACCUAUCAUGGUGAUGUCCAUCUACGAGAGGGGAUGAGUGAUCUACGUACCCUAGUAGAUCGUACAGCAGAAGCGUUUAGAGAACGCGGUUGAUGUAGUGGAACGUCCUCACGUCCCUCGAUCCGCCCCGCGAACAAUCCCGCGAUCAGUCCCACGAUCUAGUACCGAACGGACGGCACCUCCGCGUUCAGCACACGUACAGCUCGACGAUGAUCUCGGCCUUCUUGAUCCAGCAAGAGAGACGGAGAGGUAGAAGAGUUCUCCGGCAGCGUGACGGCGCUCCGGAGGUUGGUGAUGAUCUUGUCUCAGCAGGGCUCUGCCCGAGCUCCGCAGAAACACGAUCUAGAGGAAAAACUAUGGAGGUAUGUGGUCGGGCAGCCGUGAGAAAGUCGUCUCAAAUCAGCCCUAAUACCUCAGUAUAUAUAGGAGGGAGGGGGAGGGAAGAGGCAGCCUCAAACCCUCAAGGUUUGGCCGAAAUUGGAGGUGGAGGAGUCCUACUCCAAUCCUACUUGGAGUAGGAUUCCACCUUCCCACUUGAAAACUCUUUCCACCUUGUGUUUUUUCCUUCUCAAACCUUAUGGGCCUUAGUGGGAACUUAUUCCAGCCCACUAGGGGCUGGUUUAUCUCUUCCCAUAGCCCAUGAUACCCCUUGGGGCGUGACACCCCUCCCGAUGGUCCCCGGCACCCCUCCCGGCACUCCCGGUACACUACCGAUGAGCCCGAAACUUUUCCGGUGACCAAAACAGGACUUCCUAUAUAUCAAUCUUUACCUCCGGACCAUUCCGGAGCUCCUCGUGACGUCCUGCAUCUCAUCCGGGACUCCGAACAACAUUCGGUAACCAACCAUAUAACUCAAAUACGCAUAAAACAACGUCGAACCUUAAGUGUGCAGACCCUGCGGGUUCGAGAACUAUGUAGACAUGACCCGAGAGACUCCUCGGUCAAUAUCCAAUAGCGGGACCUAGAUGCCCAUAUUGGAUCCUACAUAUUCUACGAAGAUCUUAUCGUUUGAACCUCAGUGCCAAGGAUUCAUAUAAUCCCGUAUGUCAUUCCCUUUGUCCUUCGGUAUGUUACUUGCCCGAGAUUCGAUCGUCAGUAUCCGCAUACCUAUUUCAAUCUCGUUUACCGGCAAGUCUCUUUACUCGUUCCGUAAUACAAGAUCCCGCAACUUACAUUAAGUUACAUUGCUUGCAAGGCUUGUGUGUGAUGUUGUAUUACCGAGUGGGCCCCGAGAUACCUCUCCGUCACACGGAGUGACAAAUCCCAGUCUCGAUCUAUACUAACUCAACGAACACCUUCGGAGAUACCUGUAGAGCAUCUUUAUAGUCACCCAGUUACGUUGCAACGUUUGAUACACACAAAGCAUUCCUCCGGUGUCCGUGAGUUAUAUGAUCUCAUGGUCAUAGGAACAAAUACUUGACACGCAGAAAACAGUAGCAACAAAAUGACACGAUCAACAUGCUACGUCUAUUAGUUUGGGUCUAGUCCAUCACAUGAUUCUCCUAAUGAUGUGAUCCCGUUAUCAACUGACAACACUUGCCUAUGGCCAGGAAACCUUGACCAUCUUUGAUCAACGAGCUAGUCAACUAGAGGCUUAAUAGGGACAGUGUUUUGUCUAUGUAUCCACACAAGUAUUGUGUUUCCAAUCAAUACAAUUAUAGCAUGGAUAAUAAAAGAUUAUCAUGAACUAAGAAAUAUAAUAAUAACUAAUUUAUUAUUGCCUCUAGGGCAUAUUUCCAACACGUGGGUCAUCAAGGACAUUCUCUAGCCUAGACAAGUUAUCUGCUACAGGGUUAUCAACACCCUUUCGGUCAACAACAUGCAAAUCAAAUUCCUGUAGCAGAAGAACCCAUCUGAUUAGCCUAGGCUUAGCGUCCUUCUUCUCCAUGAGGUACUUAAUAGCAGCAUGAUCAGAGUGAAUAAUGACUUUGGAGUCAACUAUAUAAGAUCUGAACUUUUCACAUGCAAAUACGACUGCUAAAAACUCCUUCUCCGUAGUGGCAUAGUUUCUUUGGGCACUGUCUAGAGUUUUACUAGUGUAGUGAAUGACAUUCAACUUCUUGUCAACUAUUUGUCCUAGAACAGCACCAACAACAUAAUCACUAGCAUCGCACAUGAUUUCAAAGGGCAAGUUCCAUUCUGGUGGUUGAACAAUAGGUGCGGUUAUCAAGGCCUUCUUAAGUAUUUCGAAAGCUUCCUCACAAUCCUCAUCAAAAACAAAAGGAACAUCCUUCUGCAAGAGGUUGGUAAGAGGCCUAGAAAUCUUAGAAAAGUCUUUAAUGAACCUUCUAUAGAAACCAGCAUGACCUAGGAAACUCCGUAUACCUCUGAUAUCUGUGGGGCAAGGCAUUUUCUCAAUUGCAUCAACCUUAGCCUUAUCAACUUCAAUGCCUCUCUCAGAGAUUUUGUGUCCUAAGAUGAUGCCUUCAUUAACCAUGAAGUGGCACUUCUCCCAGUUCAAGACGAGGUUGGUAUCUUUGCAUCUCUGUAAGACUCGAUCAAGGUUGCUGAGGCAAUCGUCAAAGGAAGAACCGUAGACGGAGAAAUCAUCCAUGAAAACCUCAACAAUAUUUUCACAAAAGUCGGAGAAUAUAGCCAUCAUACAUCUUUGAAAGGUGGCUGGUGCAUUGCACAAGCCAAAAGGCAUGCGUCUACAAGCGAAUGUACCAAAGGGGCAUGUGAAGGUGGUUUUCUCUUGAUCAGAUUGUGCAACAGGUAUUUGCGAGAAACCUGAAUAACCGUCUAGAAAGGAGAAGUGUGUGUGUUUAGAUAGCCUUUCUAGCAUCAGGUCAAUAAACGGCAAAGGAUAAUGGUCUUUCCUAGUUGCCGUGUUCAGUUUCCGGAAGUCUAUCACCAUCCUAUAGCCAGUAAUAAUCCUGUGCGGGAUUAGUUCAUCCUUAUCAUUAGGAACGACAGUGAUACCUCCCUUCUUAGGUACGCAAUGUACUGGACUUACCCAAUCACUAUGAGCAACAGGAUAAAUGAUUCCUGCUUCAAGAAGCUUUAAUAUUUAUUUUCUCACGACCUCUUUCAUCCUAGGAUUUAAUCUCCUUUGAUGAUCAGCAACUGGCUUAGAAUCAGGAUCGGUUUUAAUCUUGUGCUGACAUAGAGUGGGACUAAUACCCUUAAGAUCAUCAAGAGUAUAUCCAAUAGCCUCACGGUGCUUCCUCAAAGUUUUAAUAACUUCUUCUCUUCGUGAUUCGAGAGGUGAGCACUAAUAAUAACAGGAUAUAUCUCCUUCUCAUCAAGAUAAGCAUACUUAAGAGUAUAUGGUAACUGUUUUAGCUCGAACACAGGAUCACCCUUUGGUGGGGGAGGAUCCUCAAGCAGUUCAACAGGCAGAUUAUUCUUGAGAAUAGGAUAUUGUUCUAAAACAAUUUUAUCUAUCUCAUCUCUUUCCUCCAUAUGCAUAUCAUUUUCAUGCUCAAGCAGAUAUUGCUCUAAAGGAUCCGUAGGAGGUACGGCAAUAGAGGCAAGAGCAAUGAUUUCAUCCCUACCAGACGACUCUUUUUCAUGGGGUUGUCUUCCAAACUUGGAGAAGUUAAAUUCAUGAGACACACCUUCGAAAGUAACAGUGACAGUCUGUUUAAUGCAAUCAAUGUGAGCAUUGACAGUGUUGAGAAAGGGUCUACCAAAUAUGAUGGGACAAAAGCUAUCUUGUGCAGUACCAAGGACGAGGAAAUCAGUAGGAUACUUUGUCUUACCACACAGGACUUCUAUGUCUCUCACAAUUCCUAGAGGGCAAAUAGUGUCUCUAUCAGCUAGCAUAAUAGUGACAUCAAUCGGUUCUAACUCAGCAGGUGCAAUCUCAUCUUUGAUUUUGUUGGGGAACGUCGCAAGGGAAACAAAAAUUUUCCUACGCGCACGAAGACCUAUCAUGGUGAUGUCCAUCUACGAGAGGGGAUGAGUGAUCUACGUACCCUUGUAGACCGUACAAAAGAAGCGUUAGAGAACGCGGUUGAUGUAGUGGAACGUCCUCACGUCCCUCGAUCCGCCCCGCGAACAAUCCCGCGAUCAGUCCCACGAUCUAGUACCGAACGGACGGCACCUCCACGUUCAGCACACGUACAGCUUGACGAUGAUCUCGGCCUUCUUGAUCCAGCAAGAGAGACGGAGAGGUAGAAGAGUUCUCCGGCAGCGUGACGGCGCUCCGGAGGUUGGUGAUGACCUUGUCUCAGCAGGGCUCCGCCCGAGCUCCGCAGAAACGCGAUCUAGAGGAAAAACCGUGGAGGUAUGUGGUCGGGCUGCCGUGGAAAAGUCGUCUCAAAUCAGCCCUAAAACCUCCGUAUAUAUAGGUGGGAGGGAGGGGGCCUUGCCUUGGGGUCCAAGGACCCUCAAGGGGGUCGGCCGAGCCAAGGGGGAGGACUCUCCCCCCCAAAACCGAGUUGGACUAGGUUUGGUGGGAGGGAGUCCCCCUCCCUUCCCACCUCCUCCUUUUUUUUCCUUUGAUUUCUUAUCCUUGGCGCAUAGGGCCCUUUUGGGCUGCCCCACCAGCCCACUAAGGGCUGGUGCUCCACCCUUAUGGCCUAUGGGCUUCCCCGGGGUGGGUUGCCCCCCCCCGGUGAACUCCCGGAACCCAUUCGUCAUUCCCGGUACAUUCCCGGUAACUCCGAAAACCUUCCGGUAAUCAAAUGAGGUCAUCCUAUAUAUCAAUCUUCGUUUCCGGACCAUUCCGGAAACCCUCGUGACGUCCGUGAUCUCAUCCGGGACUUCGAACAACAUUCGGCAACCAACCAUAUAACUCAAAUACGCAUAAAACAACGUCGAACCUUAAGUGUGCAGACCUUGCGGGUUCGAGAACUAUGUAGACAUGACCCGAGAGACUACUCGGUCAAUAUGCAAUAGCGGGACCUGGAUGCCCAUAUUGGAUCCUACAUAUUCUACGAAGAUCUUAUCGUUUGAACCUCAGUGCCAAGGAUUCGUAUAAUCCCGUAUGUCAUUCCCUUUGUCCUUCGGUAUGUUACUUGCCCGAGAUUCGAUCGUCAGUAUCCGCAUACCUAUUUCAAUCUCGUUUACCGGCAAGUCUCUUUACUCGUUCCGUAAUACAAGAUCCCGCAACUUACACUAAGUUACAUUGCUUGCAAGGCUUGUGUGUGAUGUUGUAUUACCGAGUGGGCCCCGAGAUACCUCUCCGUCACACGGAGUGACAAAUCCCAGUCUUGAUCCAUACUAACUCAACUAACACCUUCGGAGAUACCUGUAGAGCAUCUUUAUAGUCACCCAGUUACGUUGCGACGUUUGAUACACACAAAGCAUUCCUCCGGUGUCAGUGAGUUAUAUGAUCUCAUGGUCAUAGGAAUAAAUACUUGACACGCAGAAAACAGUAGCAACAAAAUGACACGAUCAACAUGCUACAUCUAUUAGUUUGGGUCUAAUCCAUCACGUGAUUCUCCCAAUGACGUGAUCCAGUUAUCAAGCAACAACACCUUGUUCAUAAUCAGAAGACACUGACUAUCAUUGACUAACUGGCUAGCCAACUAGAGGCAUGCUAGGGACGGUGUUUUGUCUAUGUAUCCACACAUGUAAAUGAGUCUUCAUUCAAUACAAUUAUAGCAUGGAUAAUAAACUAUUAUCUUGAUACAGGAAUUAUAAUAAUAACUACAUUUAUUAUUGCCUCUAGGGCAUAAUUCCAACAGUCUCCCACUUGCACUAGAGUCAAUAAUCCAGCCCUCACAUCACCAUGUGAAUUACAUUGUAAUAAAUCUAACACCCAUACAGUUCUGGUGUCGAUCAUGUUUUGGCCGUGGAAGAGGUUUAGUCAGCGGGUCUGCUACAGUCAGAUCCGUGUGCACUUUGCAUAUAUUCACGUCCUCUUCCUCGACGUAGUCGCGGAUGAGGUUGAAGCGUCGUUUGAUGUGUCUAGUCUUCUUGUGAAAACGCGGUUCCUUUGCUAAGGCAAUGGCACCCGUGUUGUCACAGAACAAGGUUAUUGGAUCCAGUGCACUUGGCACCACUCCAAGAUCCGUCAUGAACUGCUUCAUCCAGACACCCUCCUUAGUUGCCUCCGAGGCAGCCAUGUACUCCGCUUCACAUGUAGAAUCUGCUACGACGCUUUGCUUGGAACUGCACCAGCUUACUGCACCCCCAUUAAGAAUAAAUACGUAUCCGGUUUGCGACUUAGAGUCGUCCGGAUCUGUGUUAAAGCUUGCAUCGAUGUAACCUUUUACGGCGAGCUCUUCGUCACCUCCAUACACGAGAAACAUCUCCUUAGUCCUUUUCAGGUACUUCAGGAUAUUCUUGACCGUUGUCCAGUGAUCCACUCCUGGAUUACUCUGGAACCUACCUGCCAUACUUAUGGCCAGGCUAACAUCCGGUCUAGUGCACAGCAUCGCAUACAUGAUAGAACCUAUGGCUGAAGCAUAGGGGACGGAGCGCAUAUGCUCUCUAUCUUCAUCAGUUGCUGGGCACUGAGUCUUACUCAAUCUCGUACCUUGUAAAACUGGCAAGAACCCUUUCUUGGAUUGUUCCAUUUUGAACCUCUUCAAAACUUUAUCAAGGUAUGUGCUUUGUGAAAGUCCUAUCAGGCGUUUUGAUCUAUCCCUAUAGAUCUUAAUGCCUAGAUUGUAAGCAGCUUCUCCUAGGUCCUUCAUAGAGAAACUUUUAUUCAAGUAACCUUUUAUGCUCUCCAAAAGCUCUACGUUGUUUCCAAUCAGUAAUAUGUCAUCCACAUAUAAUAUUAGAAACGCCACAGAGCUCCCACUCACUUUCUUGUAAAUACAAGAUUCUCCAACCACUUGUAUAAACCCAAAUGCUUUGAUCACCUCAUCAAAGCGUUUGUUCCAACUCCGAGAUGCUUGCACCAGUCCAUAAAUGGAUCGCUGGAGCUUGCACACCUUGUCAGCAUUUUUAGGAUCGACAAAACCUUCGGGUUGCAUCAUAUACAACUCUUCCUUAAGGAAACCGUUAAGGAACACCGUUUUGACAUCCAUCUGCCAGAUUUCAUAAUCGAAAAAUGCAGCUAUUGCUAACAUGAUUCUGACGGACUUAAGCAUCGCUACGGGUGAGAAAGUCUCAUCGUAGUCAACUCCUGGAACUUGUGAAAAACCCUUUGCCACAAGUCGAGCUUUAUAAACGGUCACAUUACCGUCAGCGUCCGUCUUCUUCUUAAAGAUCCAUUUGUUCUAAAUAGCCUUGCGGCCCUCAGGUAGUAUCUCCAAAGUCCACACUUUGUUCUCAUAAAUGGAUCCUAUCUCGGAUUUCAUGGCUUCUAGCCAUUUGUUGGAAUCUGGGCCCACCAUUGCUUCUUCAUAAUUUGCAGGUUCAUUGUUGUCUAACAACAUGAUUGAUAAGACGGGAUUACCGUACCACUCUGGAGCAGCGCGUGAUCUCGUCGACCUGCGUGGUUCAACAGAAACUUGAACUGGAGUUUCAUGAUCAUCAUCAUUAACUUCCUCCUCAACCGGCGUCGCAACGACAGAGGUUUCCCCUUGCCCUGCGCCACUAUCCAGAGGGAUGAGAGGUUCGACAACCUCGUCAAGUUCUAUCUUCCUCCCACUCAAUUCUCUCGAGAGAAACUCCUUCUCGAGAAAAGCUCCGUUUUUAGCAACAAACACUUUGCCCUCGGAUUUGAGAUAGAAGGUGUACCCAACUGUCUCUUUUGGGUAACCUAUGAAGACGCACUUUUCCGCUUUGGGUUCCAGCUUUUCAGGCUGAAGCUUUUUGACAUAAGCAUCACAUCCCCAAACUUUAAGAAACGACAACUUUGGCCUUUUGCCGUACCACAGUUCGUAUGGUGUCGUCUCAACGGAUUUUGAUGGUGCCCUAUUUAAAGUGAAUGCAGCUGUUUCUAAUGCAUAACCCCAAAAUGAUAACGGCAAAUCAGUAAGAGACAUCAUAGAUCGCACCAUCUCUAACAAAGUACGAUUACGACGUUCGGACACACCAUUACGCUGUGGUGUUCCAGGCGGUGUUAACUGCGAAACAAUUCCACAUUGUCUUAAGUGAGCACCAAACUCGAAACUCAGAUAUUCACCCCCACGAUCAGACCGUAGGAACUUGAUCUUCUUGUUACGAUGAUUUUCCACUGCAUUCUGAAAUUGCUUGAACCUUUCAAAUGUUUCAGACUUGUGCUUCAUCAAGUAGACAUAACCAUAUCUACUUAAAUCGUCAGUGAAGGUGAGAAAAUAACGAUAUCCGCCGCGUGCCUCUACGCUCAUUGGACCACACACAUCGGUAUGUAUGAUUUCCAACAAGUCACUUGCACGCUCCAUUGUUCCGGAGAACGGAGUCUUAGUCAUCUUGCCCAUGAGGCAUGGUUCGCACGUGUCAAGUGAAUCAAAGUCAAGUGACUCCAAAAGUCCAUCAGCAUGGAGUUUCUUCAUGCGCUUUACACCAAUAUGACCUAAACGGCAGUGCCACAAAAAUAUGGCGCUAUCAUUGUUUACUCUAACUCUUUUGGUCUCAAUGUUAUGUAUAUGCGUAUCGCUAUCAAGAUUCAAUAUGAACAAUCCUCUCACAUUCGGUGCAUGACCAUAAAAGAUGUUACUCAUAGAAAUAGAACAACCAUUAUUCUCAGACUUAAAAGAGUAACCGUCUCGCAAUAAACAAGAUCCAGAUAUAAUGUUCAUGCUCAACGCAGGCACUAAAUAACAAUGAUUUAAGUUCAUCACUAAUCCCGAUGGUAGCUGAAGUGACACUGUGCCGACGGCGAUUGCAUCAACCUUGGAACCAUUUCCUACGCGCAUCGUCACUUCAUCUUUCGCCAGCCUUCGUCUAUUCCGCAGUUCUUGUUUCGAGUUGCAAAUGUGAGCAACAGAACCGGUAUCGAAUACCCUGGCACUACUACGAGAGCCGGUUAAGUACACAUCAAUAACAUGUAUAUCAAAUAUACCUGAUUUUUCUUUGCCCGCCUUCUUAUCUGCCAGAUACUUGGGGCAAUUGCGCUUCCAGUGACCCAUACCCUUGCAAUAGAAGCACUCUGUUUCAGGCUUAGGUCCAGCCUUGGGUUUCUUCGGCGGAUUGGCAACAGGCUUGCCGAUCUUCUUCGAAUUGCCCUUCUUGCCUUUGCCGUUUCUCUUGAAACUAGUGGUCUUGCUCACCAUCAACACUUGAUGCUCUUUACGGAGUUCAGACUCUGCGACUUUCAGCAUCGCAAACAACUCGCCGGGAGACUUGUUCAUCCCUUGCAUGUUGUAGUUCAACACAAAGCCUUUAUAGCUUGGUGGCAGUGAUUGAAGGAUUCUGUCAGUGAUAGCUUCUUGCGGGAGUUCAAUCCCCAGUUCAGCUAGACGGUUUCAGUACCCAGACAUUUUGAGCACAUGUUCACUGACAGACGAGUUUUCCUCCAUCUUGCAAGCAUAGAAUUUAUCGGAGGUCUCAUACCUCUCGAUCCGGGCGUUCUUCUGAAAGAUAAACUCCAACUCCUGGAACAUCUCAAAUGCUCCAUGGCGCUCAAAGCGACGUUGAAGUCCCGGUUCUAAGCCAUACAAGACUGCACAUUGAACUAUUGAGUAGUCCUCCUUACGUGCUAACCAAGCGUUCUUAACAUCCUGAUCAGCCGUAGCGGGUGGUUCAUCUCCUAGCGCAGCAUUAAGGACAUAAUCCUUCUUCCCAGCUUGUAAGAUUAGCUUAAGAUUACGAGCCCAGUCUACAAAGUUGCUUCCAUCAUCUUUCAACUUAGCUUUCUCUAGGAACGUAUUAAAAUUCAGGAUGACAGUCGCGUGAGCCAUGAUCUACAACACAAAUAUAUUCAAAGUGGACUUAGACUAUGUUCAAGAUAAUUAGAGUUCAACUUAAUCAAAUUAUAUGCUAAACUCCCACUCAAAAAGUACAUCUCUCUAGUCAUUUGAGUGGUUCAUGAUCCACUUACACUAUCCCAAGUCCGAUCAUCACGUGAGUUGAGUAUAGUUUCAGUGGUAAGCAUCCCUAUGCUAAUCAUAUCAACUAUAUGAUUCAUGAUCGACCUUUCGGUCUCAUCUGUUCCGAGGCCAUGUCUGCACAUGCUAGGCUCGUCAAGCUUAAUCCGAGUGUUCCGCGUGCGCAACUGUUUUGCACCCGUUGUAUGUGAACGUUGAGUCUAUCACACCCGAUCAUCACGUGGUGUCUCGAAACGACGAACUGUAGCAACGGUGCACAGUCGGGGAGAACACAAUUUCGUCUUGAAAUUUUAGUGAGAGAUCACCUCAUAAUGCUACCGUCGUUCUAAGCAAAAUAAGGUGCAUAAAAGGAUUACCAUCACAUGCAAUUCAUAAGUGACAUGAUAUGACCAUCAUCACGUGCUUCUUGAUCUCCAUCACCAAAGCACCGGCACGAUCUUCUUGUCACCGGCGCCACACCAUGAUCAUCCAUCAACGUGUUGCCAUCGGGGUUGUCGUGCUACUUAUGCUAUUACUACUAAAGCUACAUCCUAGCAAAAUAGUAAACGCAUCUGCAAGCACAAACGUUACUAUAAAGACAACCCUAUGGCUCCUGCCGGUUGCCGUACCAUCGACGUGCAAGUCGAUAUUUCUAUUACAACAUGAUCAUCUCAUACAUCCAAUAUAUCACAUCACAUCGUUGGCCAUAUCACAUCACAAUCAUACCCUGCAAAAACAAGUUAGACGUCCUCUAAUUUUGUUGUUGCAUGUUUUACGUGGUGACCAAGGGUAUCUAGUAGGAUCGCAUCUUACUUACGCAAACACCACAACGGAGAUAUAUGAGUUGCUAUUUAACCUCAUCCAAGGACCUCCUCGGUCAAAUCCGAUUCAACUAAAGUUGAAGAAACCGUCACUUGCCAGUCAUCUUUGAGCAAAGGGGGUUGCUCGUAAUGAUGAAACCAGUCUCUCAUAAGCGUACGAGUAAUGUCGGUCCAAGCUGCUUCAAUCCAACAAUACCGCAGAAUCAAGAAAAGACUAAGGAGGGCAGCAAAACGCACAUCACCGCCCACAAAACCUUUUGUGUUCUACUCGAGAAGACAUCUACGCAUGAACCUAGCUCAUGAUGCCACUGUUGGGGAACGUCGCAAGGGAAACAAAAAUUUUCCUACGCGCACGAAGACCUAUCAUGGUGAUGUCCAUCUACGAGAGGGGAUGAGUGAUCUACGUACCCUUGUAGAUCAUACAGCAGAAGCGUUUAGAGAACGCGGUUGAUGUAGUGGAACGUCCUCACGUCCCUCGAUCCGCCCCGCGAACAAUCCCGCGAUCAGUCCCACGAUCUAGUACCGAACGGACGGCACCUCCGCGUUCAGCACACGUACAGCUCGACGAUGAUCUCGGCCUUCUUGAUCCAGCAAGAGAGAUGGAGAGGUAGAAGAGUUCUCCGGCAGCGUGACGGCGCUCCGGAGGUUGGUGAUGAUCUUGUCUCAGCAGGGCUCCGCCCGAGCUCCGCAGAAACACGAUCUAGAGGAAAAACUAUGGAGGUAUGUGGUCGGGCAGCCGUGAGAAAGUCGUCUCAAAUCAGCCCUAAUACCUCAGUAUAUAUAGGAGGGAGGGGGAGGGAAGAGGCAGCCUCAAACCCUCAAGGUUUGGCCGAAAUUGGAGGUGGAGGAGUCCUACUCCAAUCCUACUUGGAGUAGGAUUCCACCUUCCCACUUGGAAACUCUUUCCACCUUGUGUUUUUUCCUUCUCAAACCUUAUGGGCCUUAGUGGGAACUUAUUCCAGCCCACUAGGGGCUGGUUUAUCUCUUCCCAUAACCCAUGAUACCCCUUGGGGCGUGACACCCCUCCCGAUGGUCCCCGGCACCCCUCCCGGCACUCCCGGUACACUACCGAUGAGCCCGAAACUUUUCCGGUGACCAAAACAGGACUUCCUAUAUAUCAAUCUUUACCUCCGGACCAUUCCGGAGCUCCUCGUGACGUCCUGGAUCUCAUCCGGGACUCCGAACAACAUUCGGUAACCAACCAUAUAACUCAAAUACGCAUAAAACAACGUCGAACCUUAAGUGUGCAGACCCUGCGGGUUCGAGAACUAUGUAGACAUGACCCGAGAGACUCCUCGGUCAAUAUCCAAUAGCGGGACCUGGAUGCCCAUAUUGGAUCCUACAUAUUCUACGAAGAUCUUUAUCGUUUGAACCUCAGUGCCAAGGAUUCGUAUAAUCCCGUAUGUCAUUCCCUUUGUCCUUCGGUAUGUUACUUACCCGAGAUUCGAUCGUCAGUAUCCGCAUACCUAUUUCAAUCUCGUUUACCGGCAAGUCUCUUUACUCGUUCCGUAAUACAAGAUCCCGUAACUUACACUAAGUUACAUUGCUUGCAAGGCUUGUGUGUGAUGUUGUAUUACCGAGUGGGCCCCGAGAUACCUCUCCGUCACACGGAGUGACAAAUCCCAGUCUUGAUCCAUACUAACUCAACUAACACCUUCUGAGAUACCUGUAGAGCAUCUUUAUAGUCACCCAGUUACGUUGCGACGUUUGAUACACACAAAGCAUUCCUCCGGUGUCAGUGAGUUAUAUGAUCUCAUGGUCAUAGGAAUAAAUACUUGACACGCAGAAAACAGUAGCAACAAAAUGACACGAUCAACAUGCUACGUCUAUUAGUUUGGGUCUAAUCCAUCACGUGAUUCUCCCAAUGACGUGAUCCAGUUAUCAAGCAACAACACCUUGUUCAUAAUCAGAAGACACUGACUAUCAUUGACUAACUGGCUAGCCAACUAGAGGCAUGCUAGGGACGGUGUUUGGUCUAUGUAUCCACACAUGUAAAUGAGUCUUCAUUCAAUACAAUUAUAGCAUGGAUAAUAAACUAUUAUCUUGAUACAUGAAUUAUAAUAAUAACUACAUUUAUUAUUGCCUCUAGGGCAUAAUUCCAACAGAUUUCAUCAUAUAGGGAACGGUGUAUUGCACUAACACUAGCACCCAUAUCACAUAAACCGUGGUAACAGUGAUCUGCUAUCUUGACAGAAACAACGGGCAGGCCAACUACAUGUCCGUAGUUGUCUUUCGCGUGAGGUUUAGCAAUUCUAGUGGAGUCCUCACAGAAUUUGAUAACAUGCCCGUCUAUGUCUUCGGCUAAGAGAUCUUUGAUAAUAGCAACACUAGGUUAAAGUCUAAUUUCCUCACGGGGUGCAAGUGGUCUAAUGUAACCCCUACGUAUCACAGUUGGAGCUUUAGAAUAAUCCUUUAUCCUAGCAGGGUAAGGUGGUUUCUCAGCGUAGGCACAAGGAACAACAAGAUCACUAAAAGCAAUGACUUUCUCCUCAACUAGAUUGGUUUUGGCUAUGUUGCUUUCUACAGGAGGAUGAUAUUUAAACCACUUCUCUUUGGGAAGAUUAACAUGAGCACCAAAAGAUUCACAUAGAGAAGCUAUUAUCUCAGAGUCAAGUCCAUACUUAGCGCUAAAAUCUCUAGAAGUGUUUGUCUCAACAAAAGAUUUAACGCAAUCAAACUGGAAAUUCAUACUUGGCUCCUUACCUUCUUCCAGCUCCCAAUCUUCAGAGUUACGUUUGAUUAUUUCCAAUAAAUUCCACUUGUGGUCAAUAUCCUUCUUCAUAAAAGAACCAGUACAAGAAGUGUCAAGCAUGGUACGAUCUUCAUGAGAAAGCCGAGCAUAAAAGUUUUGAGUGAUAAUUUCUCUCGAGAGCUCAUGAUUGGGGUAUGAAUAUAGCAUUGAUUUAAGCCUCCCCCAAGCUUGAGCUAUGCUUUCCCUGUCACGAGGCCAAAAGUUAUAAAUAUAAUUCCGAUCACGAUGUACUAAAUGCAUAGGAUAGAACUUUUGAUGAAAUUCCAAUUUCAACCGAUUGUAGUCCCAUGAUCCAGUAUCAUCACAUAGCCUAUACCAUGUCAACGCCUUAUCCUUCAAAGAUAAAGGAAAGACUUUCUUAUUUACCUCAUCCUCGGGCAAACCUGCAAGCUUAAAUAAACCACAAACUUCAUCUACAUAGAUUAGAUGCAAGUCUGGAUGUGAAGAUCCAUCUCCUGUAAAAGGAUUAGCCAGCAGUUUCUCAAGCAUACCCGAAGGGAUUUCAUAAGAGAUAUUUUCAGUAGGUACCUCAGGUUGAGGAACAACUCCUCGUGCUUCCGUUCGUGGUGAAGAUACCCCGAACAAACUCCUCAAAGGAACAGUUUCCAUAGUGACAAGUGACAAUGAAUUUCAGCACAAUAUAUAAAUGUUUCCUUACCAAAUUCCACUUACCAAAGGCGCUUCCUCCCCGGCAACGGCGCAUGAAAAGAGUCUUGAUGACCCACAAGUAUAGGGGAUCAAUCGUAGUCCUUUCGAUAAGUAAGAGCGUUGAACUCAACGAGGAGGAGAAGGCUCUGAUAAAAGGUUUUCAGCAAGGUAAUAACUGCAAGCACUGAAAGUAGCGGUAACAGGUGAUGGUGUAGUGAAGUGAAACGUAGCAAGCGAAAAGUAACAAGUAACAAGUAGUAGCAACGGUGCAGCAAGUGGCCCAAUCCCUUUUGUAGCAAGGGACAAGCCUGAACAAAGUCUUAUAAGAGGAAAAGCGCUCCCGAGGACACACGGGAAUUUCUGUCAUGCUAGUUUCAUCAUGUUCAUAUGAUUCACGUUCGUUACUUUGAUAGUUUGAUAUGUGGGUGGACCGGCGCUUGGGUACUGCCCUUACUUGGACAAGCAUCCCACUUAUGAUUAACCCCUCUCGCAAGCAUCCGCAAAUACAAAAGAAGAAUUAAGACAACGUCUAACCAUAGCAUUAAACUAGUGGAUCCAAAUCAGCCCCUUACGAAGCAACGCAUAGACUGGGGUUUAAGCUUCUGUUACUCCAGCAACCCAUCAUCUACUUACUACUCCCCAAUGCCUUCCUCUAGGCCCAAAUAUGGUGAAGUGUUAUGUAGUCGACGUUCACAUAACACCACUAGAGGAAAAUCAACAUACAACAUAUCAAAAUACCGAGCAAAUACCAAACUCACAUGACUAUUAUUAGCAUGACUUAUCCCAUGUCCCCAGGAACAAAAGUAACUACUCACAAAGCAUAAUCAUAAUCAUGAUCAGAGGUGUAAUGAAUAACUUCAAGGAUCUGAACAUAAACUCUUCCACCAAGUAAUCCAACUAGCAUCAACUACAAAUAGUAAUCAACACUACUAGCAACCUUACAAGUACCAAUCGGAGUCGCGAGAUGGAGAUUGGUUACAAGAGAUGAACUAGGGAUUGGAGAGGAACUGGUGCCGAUGAAGAUGUUGAUGAAGAUGCAUCCCCUCCGACGAGAGGAGUGUUGGUGAUGACGAAGGCGACGAUUUCCCCCUCCGGGAGGGAAGUUUCCCCGGCAGGAUCGUCCUGCCGGAGCUCUAGAUUGGAUCUGCUCAAGUUCCGCCUCGUGGCGGCGGCGAAACCACGAAAACGCUCCCGAAUGAAUUUUUUUUUCUGGAACGAAACCCUUCAUAUAGCAAAAGAGGCGGGCCAGUGGGCCGCCAGGGUGCCCACAAGCCCUGUUGCCACGGCCAGGGGAUAGGCUGCGGCAACCAGGCUUGUGCCCCCCUGGUUGCUCCCCUCUGACACUUCUUUCGCCCAGUAUUUUUUAUAAAAUCCAAAAAAAAUCCACGUUGAUUUUCAGGACAUUUGGAGUUGCGCGGAAUAGAGCACUCAGACUUGCUCCUUUUCCAGUCCAGAAUUCCAGCUGUCGGUAUUCUCCCUCUUCAAAUAAACCUUGCAAAAUAAGAGAUAAAGGCAUAAUUAAGGUUCCACAAAGUAUAAUAACAGUCCAAAAAGCGAUAAAUAUCAACAUGAAAGCAUGAUGCAAAAUGGACGUAUCAAGGGCCAAGGCAGGAGAGCUACAGGGGGCCCACAAGCCAUGUAGCCGCCACCAGGGGGGCCGGUGGCUACCAGGCUUGUGGCCUCCCUGGCGCUCCCCUGCCCUAUCUCUUUCACCUAUAUAUUCCCUAAAAUCCAGAAAAAAAUGAGGUCAUCCACGAAAACACUUUUUCGCCGCCGCAAGCUUUCGUUUCCGCGAUAUCUCAUUUGGAGACCCUUCCCGGUGCCGUGCCGGAGGGGACUUUGGAGUUGGAGGGCUUCUACAUCAACAUCAACGCCUCUCCAAUGACUCGUGAGUAGUCCACUUCAGACCUACGGGUCCGUAGUUAGUAGCUAGAUGGCUUCUUCUCUCUCUUGGAUCUUCAAUACAAAGUUCUCCAUGAUCUUCUUGGAGAUCUAUCCGAUGUAAUCCUCUUUGGCGGUGUGUUUGUCGAGAUACGAUGAAUUGUGGAUUUGUGAUCAGAUUAUCUAUGAUAUAUAUUUGAGUCUUUGCUCAUUUCUUAUAUGCAUGAUUUGAUAUCCUUUUAAGUCUCUCCGAGUCUUGUGUUUUGUUUGGCCAACUAGAUCUAUGAUUCUUGUAAUGGGAGAAGUGCUUGGUUUUGGGUUCAUACCGUGUGGUGACCUUUCCCAGUGACAGAAGGGGCAGCAAGGCACACAUCGUGUUGUUGCCAUCAAGGGUAAUAAGAUGGGCUUUUAUCGUAGAUAUGAGAUUGUCCAUCUACAUCAUGUCAUCUUGCUUAAGGCGUUACUCUGUUCUUAUGAACUUAAUACACUAGAUGCAUGCUGGAUAGCGGUCGACGUGUGGAGUAAUAGUAGUAGAUGCACAAAGUAUCGGUCUACUUGUUUUGGACGUGAUGCCUAUAGAUAUAAUCAUUACCAUAGAUGAUGUCACGACUUUGCGCGGUUCUAUCAAUUGCUUGACAGUAAUUCGUUCACCCACCGUCUACUUGCUUUCAUGAGAGAAGUCACUAGUGAACACUACGGCCCCCGGGUCUAUUCACAACUAUCGUUUCCACUUUCGCUUUUACUUUGCUUUGUUUAUUUUUUGCUUUCAGUUCUCACUUUGCAAACAAUCUAUAAGGGAUUGACAACCCCUUCAUAGCGUUGGGUGCAAGCUCUUUGUGUUUGUGGAGGUACUUGUGACUCGACACGAUUCUCCCACUGGAUCGAUACCUUGGUUCUCAAACUGAGGGAAAUACUUACCGCCGCUGUGCUACAUCACCCUUUCCUCUUCAAGGGAACAUCAACGCAAGGCUCCAAGGCCGCGGGGAAAUACUUUGCAUAUUUGCCAAGGAAGUCCCUAUAGGCGUAGCCCGUGACAGAAGGAUUCCUGGCGCCGUUGCCAGGGAAGGUUUGUUGUCGCAGUAGCAGAAGGAUUUCUGGCGCCGUUGCCGGGGAGGAGGAUCGCUUGCGGAGGAGAGAUCAAGUCAAGAUCUAUCCAAGUAGGUGUCACAAACUCAUCUCUUGCAUUUACCUUUUUGCCAGUUGCCUCUCGUUUUCCUCUCCCCCACUUCACAUUUGUCGUUUUCAUUUGCCUUUUUCGUUUGCCUUUUCCGUUCGCCUUUUUGUUCGCCCUUUUUUCUCGCUUUCUUUCUGUUCGCUUGUGUGCCAUGUGCCUUCAGUAUGCUUGCAUCUUCGCUUGCUGAAAAUCUAGUGAUAUGGAUCCUCAUCAACUUGCUAAUCUCUUUAAGAGAUCCAAUUAUGUUGAUCCAAUUGCUAGUAAGUUGAGUGCACUUGACUUUCUUUAUAGAGUUUUGCUUGAGAUGCGUGAAUCUUAAAAUUGUGAGGAAGAAAUUUAUGAAGUGAUUCAUGAGGGCUCCUUGGAUGAAAAGCAUGAUUGCAAUGGUUUCACUAUAAAUUCUAUUAGUGACAAUCAUGCUAAAAAUAUGCAAAACCCUAACCUCAUGAUGAAUAUGAUAUUUGCAAUAAUAUUGAAAGUGGGUUUGGAGAAUUCAUGACUUUAGUUGAUGAUAAUCCCACUAUUUUUGAAGAGCAUCAACUUUGCAUGCAUGUGGAUCAUGAAAACAAUAUCCUAUGUGAUAUUUACAUUGUUGAAUUCGAAUAUGAUCCCACAUGUAAUUAUUAUGAGAGAGGAAAAUAUGGUGGUAGAAACUUUCAUAUCACUAAAUUACCUCUCGUUAUGUUGAGAUUGCUAUUGUCUCUUUCUUCUUCCUUGCAUAUGGUAACUAUUGGUUGUCUUGACGAUCUGUUUUCCUAUAAAAUGCCUAUGCAUAGGAAGUAUGUUAGACUUACAUGUGAUUUUUACAUGCUUCAUGAUGCUCUCGUUGUGCUUCAAUUCUUGUCUUUUGUGUGAGCAUCAUUGAACUAUCAAUGCCUAGCUAAGGGCGUUAAACAAUAGCGCUUGUUGGGAGGCAACCCAACGAAUCUAUCCUUUUUCUUUCUGUUUUGUGUUUUCCACACUUUCAUAAUUCUGUUAUGAUUGUGUUUUUUGUGUUUCCUUUUGCGUUUGUGCCAAUUAAAACCGUUAUGAUUAGUCUUGGGGAUGAUCGUUUGGUCAUGCUGGAAAAGACAGAAACUUUCUGCUCACGAAAAGAAUUUUCAUUUUUUUCCGUAAGAGCUUUUGAGUUGAUUCUUUUUGCUUCUGAUUGCUACACAAAUUCUUCAGACUGUCGUAAUUUUUCAGAAUUUUUGAAGUACAGAAGUAUACGAAGUAUACAGAUUGCUACAGACUGGUUUGCUGUUAACAGAUUAUGUUUCUAUUGAGUUGGUUGCUUAUUUUGAUGAAACUAUGGAUAGUAUCGGGGGGUAUUUGUUGGAAAUAUGCCCUAGAGGCAAUAAUAAAUUAGUUAUUAUUAUAUUUCUUAGUUCAUGAUAAUCGUUUAUUAUCCAUGCUAUAAUUGUAUUGAUUGGAAACACAGUGCAUGUGUGGAUACAUAGACAAAACACUGUCCCUAGUAAGCCUCUAGUUGACUAGCUCGUUGAUCAAAGAUGGUCAAGGUUUCCUGACCAUAGGCAAGUGUUGUCACUUGAUAACGGGAUCACAUCAUUAGGAGAAUCAUGUGAUGGACUAGACCCAAACUAAUAGACGUUGCUACUGUUUUCUGCGUGUCAAGUAUUUGUUCCUAUGACCAUGAGAGCAUAUAACUCACUGACACCGGAGGAAUGCUUUGUGUGUAUCAAACAUCGCAACAUAACUGGGUGACUAUAAAGAUGCUCCACAGGUAUCUCCGAAGGUGUUCGUUGAGUUAGUAUGGAUCGAGACUGGGAUUUGUCACUCCGUGUGACGGAGAGGUAUCUCACGGCCCACUCGGUAAUACAACAUCACACACAAGCCUUGCAAGCAAUGUGACUUAGUGUAAGUUGCGGGAUCUUGUAUUACGGAACGAGUAAAGAGACUUGCCGGUAAACGAGAUUGAAAUAGGUAUGCGGAUACUGACGAUCGAAUCGUACGGGAAAGUAACAUACCGAAGGACAAAGGGAAUGACAUACGGGAUUAUAUAAUCCUUGGCACUGAGGUUCAAACGAUAAGAUCUUCGUAGAAUAUGUGGGAUCCAAUAUGGGCAUCCAGGUCCCGCUAUUGGAUAUUGACCGAGGAGUCACUUGGGUCAUGUCUACAUAGUUCUCGAACCCGCAGGGUCUGCACACUUAAGGUUCGACGUUGUUUUAUGCGUAUUUGAGUUAUAUGGUUGGUUACCGAAUGUUGUUCGGAGUCCCGGAUGAGAUCACGGACGUCACGAGGGUUUCCGGAAUAGUCCGGAAACGAAGAUUGAUAUAUAGGAUGACCUCAUUUGAUUACCGGAAGGUUUUUGGAGUUACCGGGAAUGUACCGGGAAUGACGAAUGGGUUCCGGGUGUUCACCGGGGGGGGCAACCCUCCCCGGGGAAGCCCAUAGGCCUUGGGGGUGGCGCACCAGCCCUUGGUGGGCUGGUAGAACAGCCCAAGAAGGCCCUAUGCGCCAAGGAUAGGAAAUCAAAAAGAAAAGAAAAAAAAGAGGUGGGAAGGAGAGAAGGACUCCACUUUCCAAUCCUAGUUGGACUAGGAUUGGAGGAGGACUCCUCCUCCCUUGGUGGUGCAGCCCUUGGGGCUCCUUGAGCCUCAAGGCAAGCCUCCCCUCCCUCCUCCUAUAUAUAUGGAGCAAUUAGGGCUGAUUUGAGACAACUUUUGCCACAGCAGCCCGACCACAUAUGUGACAGCCCGAUGCCGACGUUCCAGAAGAUUCCCCUCUCUUUCCGUUUUCGUCGUGUGUCUAUUCUCUUUUGUCGCAUCAUCAUCAUCGCAUCAUGCGCAUCAUAUGCAUUGCAUCAGCAUCCCGUUGCCGCCCGUUUUCAAAACCUGCAUUCGCUAGUAGUCGCCGGUUCUCGUCGUUGUCCGUUCUGAGCCCGACCGCACUCGCACGCGCCCGCGGCACCGUCGAAACCCUGUUUUAAAAGUGUGCAUAAAACCUUCUCUGAUUGGGUUGAGAUUUGACGUGCGGUCGUUUUUUUAAUAUAGGUAGGCCGCCUGUCAAGUUUCGUCGCAAUCGGAGUCCGUCUGGUACCCGAACGGUCGUCCGUAGCGGCACCGUCUUCGGUCUAUCGCGGUCGUUUUCCCUCUCACCUCCGCCUAGCCACUCUUCACAGCCACCUAGACAUUCACGCGUCUGUGGCCGUUCGAUCGCGAUCACGUGGUCGAAAACGGAGUCGGAUUCGGAUAACCCUAGCCCCCUUUCCUAUUUAAUCUCCUCCUCCUCUCAUUUUGGACAGCCAAUCCCCCUUGCCUCGUUUUCCGUGCAAACCUAACCCUAGUCUAUCCACCUUUUCCACCUUUCAGAUCUGAUCUAGCCUCUCCAUCGAUCUAGACCGUUGGAUCGGAGAUCCAACGGAUGAAAAUACUCUUGAGCCUUCCAUGGAGCUCCUCCCGUGUCUCUCCUCGUGCCCGAGCUCCUUCCUCCCGAGCAUGGCCGCAGCUCCUCCCCGCUGCCGGAGCACCACCGGCCAGGCAGCAGCAGCCGUCGGAGCUUCUUCGCCGGGCCACCACCUUCUCCUCCCCUUUCCUCUCUCCUUCCUCUCCCUCUCCUUCCCUGCCUCGUCCUCACCUUCUUCUUCUUCUUUGCAGGUUCAAUGGCCGUCGUUGAGCUCGCCUGUGCGCCUCUCCAUGUCCUAUCUCUGGCCAGAUCCGGGAUGGAGCUGCCAGAUCCGCUCGUUCCCAUGCUCCUGUGGCCGCCCUCGCCCCAACCAGCCUCGUCACCCGGUUGCCGGCGCGUUCGUGCAUCUCCAUGGCCGACGGGAUCGGUUCCCCUGUAAGCUUCGUUCUGAAUCUGUUGCCUAGAGGUAAUAUAUGUUAGACGCUGACUUUAAUCAUGUGUUCAACGCUAGCUGAGUUGGCUAGGGCAGCCGAUCCCAUCUCCUAGCACCAGCAGGUCGAGGGUUCAAGUCCCCGUGAAUGCAUGUUUUUUAUAUGCAUUUUUUUCCUCUUGAGGAUGACCUCCUUCCUUUAUUUUAGUGUCUGUCCAGCCACUAUUAUUUCACAAACACUCGGUAGCCCAAUUGAUCAACUUUUGUUAGCAACCAUUGGAGUCCUGGGAUCAAAUCCCAGUGUCCUCCUUUUUUUUUGCUUUCGGGAAGAUUCUUUUUAGCUUUUGUAAAAUCCAUAUAAAUUCAACCGUGCGUCGGAUUGCGACAAGUUAGAUAUGUAACUCGUGUACAAUUUCGCGUAGAUUACGAAUUUGUAACUUGCAUAAAUGUUUGAAAUAGUUUGACCCGCCGAAUCCCUACAAACGCGUGCUGACCUAUUAUGUUUUGUCCCGUAUUAAUUUUCUCGUGCGUGUCUGGACUGUCCGUAUACCGGAGAUUAAAUGUCCAUGUUUUAGGGACCAUUUUUCCAUGAAUGUUAGAGCGGUCAUUGGUAUUUUUGCGUGUAGGGUUUGCCGGUAGUUUAUUUUCCAGUAUAUAGGUGAUUAUCUCGCAUUAAUGUGUGGCAUUAUUUUGUGUUGCAACCCCACAUAUUUUAUAUGUUUUCGGGGUAGAAAAAUACCAUGGAUUUUUAUGUGCAAUUAGUUUUGCCAUUAGAGCAAGUUAGUUCGUGAGAUAUUUUGCCAUGUUGCCCUUUUGUUUAAUUCGUAGGAUUUAUUCCGUGCGUUGUUUGACGGAGUUGUCAACUAGAGAGUUGAUCUUGGAUGUUUUGUUUAGCCUCUGGUAUUUUUAGUUGUAAUAGAAAUGCAUGUUUAGGUGUGUUUUUCUUGCUCGUAAGUUGCUAGAAAUAGUGCUGUUUUAGGGGUGCUGAAAUAUUUCUAAGUCUGGAAUCUGUUAUAUUUUGUUGCUGUCUUGUCUUGCUUGCAUCUUGUGAUCUGUAGCUCUUUUGAGGUUGGUCCAAUGGAGUUAGUUGUACCCCUUGUGUUUCUCUAGCAUGCUGUGAAUUUUCAUGCCAUUUGGAGACCUCUGGCUUAGGAUUUUGCUGCUGUCAAUAUGCCUUCAGGCUGAAAACUGCACUUUCAUGAUGUGUUAUUUUCACUAAGUCUGAAAUAGUGUGUGAGAUGCCAUUUUGUGUCUUCUUUUCCUAGUGCUCCUUGCUGCCAUGCUAGUUGUUGUUAGCUGUUCGUAGUAAUGCUUCUUUCCCUCUUCCAUGCCAUGCCUUACUUGAGCAUAUCGGAGUUGUGUAGCCGUAGUUGUGGGGCGUAGAAAAUGGUAUGUGGCUGAUUUUGGCAGAUUGUAGUGUUUUCUUGUUAUGCUCGUAGUUUUCGAACCGUAGCUCCGUUUUUUCUUGCUUAGAAUCUCGUGUAGUUUCAUUUUCUCUUGCUGUUUGUAUGUGUUGAAGUGCUCGUAGCCGCCGUUGCACACAUUUUUGCAUUCAUGCUAUCAUAUCUUGCGGUGCUUGUAUCUUUUGAUCCGUAGCUCCGUUGGAGAUGUUCUUUAUGUGUAGAUUGCUUGCCUUGAUGCGUAGAAUCAUGUGAACCUAUUUGUUUUGCGGUUUAACAACUAAUCAAAUGCAUUAGUUCAGAUCUGGACAGAAUUGUAAAUUAACAUGUGAGGUCGUCUCGGAGAUGCUAUAUGUCAUUUCGGACCUCACUUAAAAUGCCUAGAUAGGUAGUUUAACUUCCGCUUCACCUCUUACAUGUUUGACAACAUUAAUAUUACCGUGUAGAUAACCGGGAGUGAACUAAAUAAUUAACGUGGAAUUUCGUCAAUAUGCAACUCGUUGCAUAUUGAACUUCACUUAAUGUGUAGUUUUGAUUGUGUGAAUUUGUCAUGCCGUGACUUGCAUGUAUUUAGCUGUUCAUGCAUCAUAUGUGUUGUGCUUCGUGUGGUGAAUAUCGUGUGUUGAUGCUUGUUUCCGGUUUCCCCGUCUCGAUAGAGUUCCGCAAGCGAGUCGGAUGUGAGGACCCGUUCGACUACAUCGGUUCGUCUGCUUCACGGAGGCAUUCUUCUUCCAAGCGGGAUCUCAGGCAAGAUGAUCAUUUCCCCAGAUACCAUUACUAUCAUUGUCAUGCUAGUUAUUUCGAUGCUAUCGCUUAUGUCUCGUUGCCUACCACUGUUAAUUAUCAGCCUCUCAACAAUGCCAUGAAACCUUCAACCUCUUCAACCUAGCAAACCACUGAUUGGCUAGGUUACUGCUUGCUUAACCAUGUUGAUAGCGUUACUAGUUGCAGGUGCAGAUGCUUCCAUGCGAAAGCAUGGGUUCCUUGUUAUAUCACCAUAUUUAACUGCUAUUUAAUUUAAUGCACCUAUAUACUUGGUAAAAGGUGGAAGGCUCGGCCUUUCUAGCCUGGUGUUUUGUUCCACCUUUGCCCCUUUUAGUUACCGGCUACCGGUGUUAUGUUCCAUAAAUGAGCGCUCCUAACACGAUCGGGGUUGUUAUGGGGACCCCCUUGAUAAUUCGUUUUAGAUUAAAGCUGGUCUGGCAAGGCCCAACAUUGGUACUACAUUUGCCUAAUCACCUAAUAAAUUGCAUAGGGACCCGCCGGCACCCGCGGACUAUUUUAAUCAACCCCCGGGCCAGUGCUCCUCAUGAGUGUUGGUCCAAAACAGAGCAGCUUAUUAACGCUACCCGGGGCAACUCGGCGUUUGGCGUGGUAACCAUAGCUCAUCCGUCGUGUCCUGAGAACGAGGUACGCGACUCCUAUCGGGAUCAUCGACACGUCGGGCGGCCUUGCUGGAUUAGUUUUACCUUUGACGAAAUAUCUUGUGCAUCGGGAUUCCGGUGAUGCUUUGGGUAAUCUCAGAGUUGAGGUUUUCCACCAGGGAAUCCGUCGAGAUCGCGAGCUUCGUGAUUGAGGAUUUCUAUGCGGCUUGUGGUAAUUUGUGAUGGACUAGUUGGAGCACCCCUGCAGGGUUAAAUCUUUCGGAAAGCCAUGCCCGCGGUUAUGUGGAACAUGGAAGCUUGCAUGCNNNNNNNNNNNNNNNNNNNNNNNNNNNNNNNNNNNNNNNNNNNNNNNNNNNNNNNNNNNNNNNNNNNNNNNNNNNNNNNNNNNNNNNNNNNNNNNNNNNNCCCCCAAACCCAAAACCUUACGUACCAACGUUCGGUUUUGGGGGGGGAGAGUCCCUCCCCCUUGGCUCGGCCGACCCCCUUGAGGGUCCUUGGACCCCAAGGCAAGGCCCCUCCCUCCCACCUAUAUAUACGGAGGUUUUAGGGCUGAUUUGAGACGACUUUUCCACGGCAGCCCGACCACAUACCUCCACGGUUUUUCCUCUAGAUCGCGUUUCUGCGGAGCUCGGGCGGAGCCCUGCUGAGACAAGGUCAUCACCAACCUCCGGAGCGCCGUCACGCUGCCGGAGAACUCUUCUACCUCUCCGCCUCUCUUGCUGGAUCAAGAAGGCCGAGAUCAUCGUCAAGCUGUACGUGUGCUGAACGUGGAGGUGCCGUCCGUUCGGUACUAGAUCGUGGGACUGAUCGCGGAAUUGUUCGCGGGGCGGAUCGAGGGACGUGAGGACGUUCCACUACAUCAACCGCGUUCUCUAACGCUUCUUCUGUACGGUCUACAAGGGUACGUAGAUCACUCAUCCCCUCUCGUAGAUGGACAUCACCAUGAUAGGUCUUCGUGCGCGUAGGAAAAUUUUUGUUUCCCUUGCGACGUUCCCCAACAGUGGCAUCAUGAGCUAGGUUCAUGCGUAGAUGUCUUCUCGAGUAGAACACAAAAGGUUUUGUGGGCGGUGAUGUGCGUUUUGCUGCCCUCCUUAGUCUUUUCUUGAUUCCGCGGUAUUGUUGGAUCGAAGCAGCUUGGACCGACAUUACUCGUACGCUUACGAGAGACUGGUUUCAUCGUUACGAGUAACCCCCUUUGCUCAAAGAUGACUGGCAAGUGACGGUUUCUCCAACUUUAGUUGAAUCGGAUUUGACCGAGGAGGUCCUUGGAUGAGGUUAAAUAGCAACUCAUAUAUCUCCGUUGUGGUGUUUGCGUAAGUAAGAUGCGAUCCUACUAGAUACCCUUGGUCACCACGUAAAACAUGCAACAACAAAAUUAGAGGACGUCUAACUUGUUUUUGCAGGGUAUGAUUGUGAUGUGAUAUGGCCAAUGAUGUGAUGUGAUAUAUUGGAUGUAUGAGAUGAUCAUGUUGUAAUAGAAAUAUCGACUUGCACGUCGAUGGUACGGCAACCGGCAGGAGCCAUAGGGUUGUCUUUAUACUAACAUAUGUGCUUGCAGAUGCGUUUACUAUUUUGCUAGGAUGUAGCUUUAGUAGUGAUAGCAUAAGUAGCACGACAACCCCGAUGGCAGCACGUUGAUGGAUGAUCAUGGUGUGGCGCCGGUGACAAGAAGAUCGUGCCGGUGCUUUGGCGAUGGAGAUCAAGAAGCACGAGAUGAUGGCCAUAUCAUGUCACUUAUGAAUUGCAUGUGAUGUUAAUCCUUUUAUGCACCUUAUUUUGCUUAGAACGACGGUAGCAUUAUGAGGUGAUCUCUCACUAAAAUUUCAAGACGAAAUUGUGUUCUCCCCGACUGUGCACCGUUGCUACAGUUCGUCGUUUCGAGACACCACGUGAUGAUCGGGUGUGAUAGACUCAACGUUCACAUACAACGGGUGCAAAACAGUUGCGCACGCGGAACACUCGGGUUAAGCUUGACGAGCCUAGCAUGUGCAGACAUGGCCUCGGAACACAUGAGACCGAAAGGUCGAGCAUGAAUCGUAUAGUUGAUAUGAUUAGCAUAGAGAUGCUUACCACUGAAACUAUUCUCGACUCACGUGAUGAUCGGACUUGAGAUAGUGGAUUUGGAUCAUGUACCACUCAAAUUACUAGAGAGAUGUACUUUUUGAGUGGGAGUUCUUAAGUAAUAUGAUUAAUUGAACUAAUUGUCAUGAACAUAGUCUAAUGGUCUUUGCGAAUUAUGAUGUAGCUUGCGCUAUAGCUCUACCUUUUUUAUAUGUUCCUAGAGAAAAUUUAGUUGAAAAUUGAUAGUAGCAAACUUUGCAGACUGAGUCUGUAAAACCGAGGAUUGUCCUCGUUGCUACGCAGAAGGCUUAUGUCCUUAAUGCACCACUCGGUGUGCUGCACCUCGAGCGUCGUCUGUGGAUGCUAUGAACAUCCGACAUACACGUUGCUGAUGACUACACGAUAGUUCAGUGCAAAAUACUUAAUGGCUUAGAAGCAAGGCGUCGAAAACGUUGUAAAACGUCACGGAACAUAAGUGAUGUUCUAAAGAGAUGAAAUUUGUGAUUUCAUGCUUGUGCCCUUGUUAAGAGGUACGAGACCUCCGACAAGAUUCUUUGUCCACAAACCACAGGAGAAAAGGCUCAAUCGUUGAGCAUGUGCUCAGAUUGUCUGAGUACGACAAUCGCUUGAAUCAAGUGGGAGUUAAUCUUCCAGAUGAGAUAGUGAUAGUUCUCCAAAGUCACUGCCACCAAGCUGUGAGAGCUUCGUGAUGAACUAUAACAUAUCAAGGAUACAUACAAUGAUCCUUGAGCGAUUCACGAUGUUUGACACUGCGAAAGUAGAAAUCAAGAAGGAGCAUCAAUAGUUGAUGGUUUGUGAAACCACUAAGUUUCAAGAAAGGCAAGGGCUAGAAGGGAUACUUCGUGAAACGGCAAAACAGUUGCUGCACUGAUGAAGAGACCCAAGAUUGAACCCAAACCCAAGACUAAGUGCUUCUAUAAUGAGGGGAACAAUCACCGAGGCGGAGCAACUCAAGAUACUUGGUAAAUAAGAAGGCUGGCAAAAGUCGAAAGAAGAGUGUUUGAUGUGCAUGAUGUUGAUGUGUACUUUACUAGUACUCCUAGUAGCACGAGGGUAUUGGAUACCGGUUCGGUUGCUAAGUGAUUAGUGACGCGAAAUGAAAGCUACGGCAUAAACGGAGACUAGCUAAAGGCGAGGUGACAAUACGUGUUGGAAGUGUUUCCAAGAUUGAUAUGAUCAAACGUCGCAUGCUCCCUCUACCAUCGGGAUUGGUGUUAAACCUAAAUAAUUGUUAUUUGGUGCUUGCGUUAAGCAUGAACAUGAUUGGAUCGUGUUUAUCGCAAUACGAUUGUUCAUUUAAGGAGAAUAAUGGUUACUCUAUUCUCUUGAAUAUUCACCUUCAAUGGUUUAUUGAAUCUCGAUCGUAGUGUUACACAUGUUCAUGAUAUUGGUGCCAAAAGAUACGAGUUAAUGAUGAUAGUACCACUUACUUGUGGCUCUGCCGCUUGAGUCAUGUUAGUAUAAAUUGCAUGAAGAGGCUCCAUGCUGAUGGAUCUUCGUACUCACCUCAUUUCAAAUCACUAGUGACAUGCAAAUCAUACCACAUGAGCAAGGCCUUGUUUUCAUUGAGAUGAAAUAAGAUAGUAACUUGUUGGAAGUGAUACAUUUUGAUGUAUGCAGUCCAAUGGGUGCUGAGGCACGUAGUGGAUAUCAUUAUGUUCUUACUUCACUGACGAUUUGAGUAGAUACAGGAGUAUUUACUUAAUGAAUCACAAGUCUGAAAUGUUGAAAAGUUCAAUUCCGUUUCAGAGUGAAGUUCGUCGUAACAAGAGGAUAAACUGUCUACGAUAUGAUCAUGGAAAUGAAUAUCUGAGUUACGAGUUUUGGUACACAGUUAAGACAAUGUGGAAAUUGUUUCGCAGUUCAUGCCACCUGGAACAUCAUAGUGUGAUGAUGUGUCUGAACGUCAUAGCCACGCACUAUUUGGUAUGGUGCAUACUAUGAUGUCUCUUAUCGAAUUACCACUAUCGUUUAUGGGUUAUGCAUUAGAGACAACCGCACUCACUUUAAAUAGGGCACCGCAUAUUUCCGUUGAGAUGACACAGUAUAGACUGAGGUUUAGAGAAAUCUAAACUGUCGUUUCUUGAAAGUUUGGGGCUUCGACACUUAUGUGAAGAAGUUUCAGUCUGAUAAGCUCGAACCCAAAGCGGAUAAAUGCAUCUUCAUAAGGAUAUCCAAAACAGUUGGGUACAUCUCCUAUCUCAGAUUCGAAAGCAAAGUGUUUGUUUCUAGAAACGGAUCCUUUCUCGAGGAAAGGUUUCUCUCGAAAGAAUUGAGUGGGAGGGUAGUAGAACUUGAUGAGGUUGUUGAACCAUCACUUCAACCAGUGUAUAGCAGGGCGCAGGAAGUUGUUCAUGUGGCGCCUACACCAAUUGAAGUGGAAGCUGAUGAUGAUGAUCAUUGAGCUUCGAAUCAAGUUACUACAAACCUCGUAGGUCGACAAGGUCGCGUACUGCUGCAGAGUAGUACGGUAACCCUGUCUUGGAGGUCAUGUUGUUGAGCAACAGUGAACCUACGAGUUAUGGAGAAAGCGAUGGUGGGCCCAGAUUCCGACAAAUGGCUGGAAGCCAUGAAAUCCGAGAGAGGAUCCAUGUGUGAAAACAAAGUGUAGACUUUGGUAGAACUACUUGAUGGUCAUAGGACUAUUGAGUAAAAUGGAUCUUUAAAAGAAGACAGACGAUGAUGGUGAUAAGUCACUAUUAAGAAACGCUCGACUUGUCGCAAAGAUGUUUUCGAUAAGAUCAAACAGUUGACUAUGAUGAGACUUUCUCACUCGUAGCGAUGCUAAAAGUCUGUUAGAAUUAUGUUAGUUGUUGAUGCAUUAUUUAUGAAAUAUUGCACGUAGGAUGUCAAAACAUUGUUUUCUCGACGGUUUCCUUGAGCAAACAUUGUAUGUGAUACAACUAGAAGGUUUUGUAGAUCCUAAAGAUACUAGCAAGUAUGCAAGCUCCAGUGAUCCUUCAAUGGACUGGUGCAAGCAUCUCAGAGUUGGAAUAUACACUUUGAUGAGAUGAUCAAAGAUUUUGGGUUUGUACAAGGUUUAUGAGAAACUUGUAUUUCCAAAGAAGUGAGUGGGAGCACUAUAGAAUUUCUGAUAAGUAUAUGUGGUUGACAUAUUGUGGAUCAGAAGUAAUGUAGAAUUUCUGUAAAGCAUACAAGGUUGUUUGAAAGAAGUUUUCAAAGGAAUACCUGGAUUACGCUACUUGAACGUUGAGCAUCAAAGAUCUAUGGAGAUUGAUCGAAAGCGCUUAAUAGAAGUUUCAACAAGAUGCAUGCCUUGACAAGUUUUUGAAAGAGUUCAAAAUAGACCAGCAAAGAAGGAGUUCUUGGUUGCGUUGUGAGGUGUGAAUUUGAGUAAGACUCAAAACCCGACCACGGCAGAAUAAAGAGAAUAGACGAAGGUCGUCUUCUAUGCCUUAGCCGUAGAAUCUAAAGUAUGCCAUGCUGUGUACCGCACCUGAAGUGUGCCUUGACUCAAAGUGUGUUAAGAGGUACAGAGAGUGAUCCAUGAUUGAAUCACUAGCAGCGGUCGAAAUUUAUCCUUAGUGACUAAUGGACUAAGGAAUUUUUCUCGAUUAUGGAGGUGGUUAAAGAGUUUGUCGUAAAGGGUUACGUCAAUGCAAGCUUUGACACUAAUCCGGAUAACUAUGAGUAGUGAAACGGAUUCGUAUAGUAGAGCAGAUAUUUGGAGCAUUUCCGAAUAGCGCGUAGUAGCAGCAUCUAUAAGAUGACAUAAAGAUUUGUAAAGAACGCACGAAUCUGAAAGUUUCAGAACCGUUGACUAAAACCUCUCUCACGAGCAAGACGUGAUCAGACCCCAUAACUAUAUGGGUGUUGGAUUCGUUGGAAUCACAUGGUGAUGUGAACUAGAUUAUUGACUCUAGUGCAAGUGGGAGACUGUUGGAAAUAUGCCCUAGAGGCAAUAAUAAAUUAGUUAUUAUUAUAUUUCUUAGUUCAUGAUAAUCGUUUAUUAUCCAUGCUAUAAUUGUAUUGAUUGGAAACACAAUACUUGUGUGGAUACAUAGACAAAACACUGUCCCUAGUAAGCCUCUAGUUGACUAGCUCGUUGAUCAAAGAUGGUCAAGGUUUCCUGGCCAUAGGCAAGUGUUGUCAGUUGAUAACGGGAUCACAUCAUUAGGAGAAUCAUGUGAUGGACUAGACCCAAACUAAUAGACGUAGCAUGUUGAUCGUGUCAUUUUGUUGCUACUGUUUUCUGCGUGUCAAGUAUUUGUUCCUAUGACCANNNNNNNNNNNNNNNNNNNNNNNNNNNNNNNNNNNNNNNNNNNNNNNNNNNNNNNNNNNNNNNNNNNNNNNNNNNNNNNNNNNNNNNNNNNNNNNNNNNNGGUGUUUGCGUAAGUAAGAUGCGAUCCUACUAGAUACCCUUGGUCACCACGUAAAACAUGCAACAACAAAAUUAGAGGACGUCUAACUUGUUUUUGCAGGGUAUGAUUGUGAUGUGAUAUGGCCAACGAUGUGAUGUGAUAUAUUGGAUGUAUGAGAUGAUCAUGUUGUAAUAGAAAUAUCGACUUGCACGUCGAUGGUACGGCAACCGGCAGGAGCCAUAGGGUUGUCAUUAUACUAACGUUUGUGCUUGCAGAUGCGUUUACUAUUUUGCUAGGAUGUAGCUUUUGUAGUAAUAGCAUGAGUAGCACGACAACCCCGAUGGCGACACGUUGAUGGAGAUCAUGAGGAUGGAGAUCAUGGUGUGACGCCGGUGACAAGAAGAUCGUGCCGGUGCUUUGGUGAUGGAGAUCAAGAAGCACAUGAUGAUGGCCAUAUCAUGUCACUUAUGAAUUGCAUGUGAUGUUAAUCCUUUUAUGCACCUUAUUUUGCUUAGAACGACGGUAGCAUUAUGAGGUGAUCUCUCACUAAAAUUUCAAGACGAAAUUGUGUUCUCCCCGACUGUACACCGUUGCGACAGUUCGUCGUUUAGAGACACCACGUGAUGAUCGGGUGUGAUAGACUCAACGUUCACAUACAACGGGUGCAAAACAGUUGCGCACGCGGAACACUCGGGUUAAGCUUGACGAGCCUAGCAUGUGCAGACAUGGCCUCGGAACACAUGAGACCGAAAGGUCGAGCAUGAAUCGUAUAGUUGAUAUGAUUAGCAUAGAGAUGCUUACCACUGAAACUAUUCUUGACUCACGUGAUGAUCGGACUUGAGAUAGUGGAUUUGGAUCAUGUACCACUCAAAUGACUAGAGAGAUGUACUUUUUGAGUGGGAGUUCUUAAGUAAUAUGAUUAAUUGAACUAAUUGUCAUGAACAUAGUCUAAUGGUCUUUGCGAAUUACGAUGUAGCUUGCGCUAUAGCNNNNNNNNNNNNNNNNNNNNNNNNNNNNNNNNNNNNNNNNNNNNNNNNNNNNNNNNNNNNNNNNNNNNNNNNNNNNNNNNNNNNNNNNNNNNNNNNNNNNUUUCCUCGACGGUUUCCUUGAGCAAACAUUGUAUGUGAUACAACCAGGAGGUUUUGUCGAUCCUAAAGAUACUAGCAAGUAUGCAAGUUCCAGCGAUCCUUCAAUGGACUGGUGCAAGCAUCUCGGAGUUGGAAUAUAUAUACUUUGAUGAGAUGAUCAAAGAUUUUGGGUUUGUACAAGGUUUAUGAGAAACUUGUAUUUCCAAAGAAGUGAGUGGGAGCACUAUAGAAUUUCUGAUAGGUAUAUGUGGUUGACAUAUUGUGGAUCAGAAGUAAUGUAGAAUUUCUGUAAAGCAUACAAGGUUGUUUGAAAGAAGUUUUCAAAGGAGUACCUGGAUUACGCUACUUGAACGUUGAGCAUCAAAGAUCUAUGGAGAUAGAUCAAAAGCGCUUAAUAGAAGUUUCAACAAGAUGCAUGCCUUGACAAGUUUUUGAAGGAGUUCAAAAUAGAUCAGUAAAGAAGGAGUUCUUGGUUGCAUUGUAAGGUGUGAAUUUGAGUAAGACUCAAAACCUGACCACGGCAGAAUAAAGAGAAUAGACGAAGGUCGUCUUCUAUGCCUUAGCCGUAGAAUCUAAAGUAUGCCAUGUUGUGUACCGCACCUGAUGUGUGCCUUGACUCAAAGUCUGUUGAGAGGUACAGAGAGUGAUCCAUGAUUGAAUCACUAGCAGCGGUCGAAAUUUAUCCUUAGUAACUAAUGGACUAAGGAAUUUUUCUCGAUUAUGGAGGUGGUUAAAGAGUUUGUCGUAAAGGGUUACGUCAAUGCAAGCUUUGACACUAAUCCGGAUAACUAUGAGUAGUGAAACGGAUUCGUAUAGUAGAGUAGAUAUUUGGAGCAUUUCCGAAUAGCACGUAGUAGCAGCAUCUAUAAGAUGACAUAAACAUUUGUAAAGAACGCACGAAUCUGAAAGUUUCAGAACCGUUGACUAAAACCUCUCUCACGAGCAAGACGUGAUCAGACCCCAUAACUAUAUGGGUGUUGGAUUCGUUGGAAUCACAUGGUGAUGUGAACUAGAUUAUUGACUCUAGUGCAAGUGGGAGACUGUUGGAAAUAUGCCCUAGAGGCAAUAAUAAAUUAGUUAUUAUUUUAUUUCUUAGUUCAUGAUAAUCGUUUAUUAUCCAUGCUAUAAUUGUAUUGAUUGGAAACACAAUACUUGUGUGGAUACAUAGACAAAACACUGUCCCUAGUAAGCCUCUAGUUGACUAGCUCGUUGAUCAAAGAUGGUCAAGGUUUCCUGGCCAUAGGCAAGUGUUGUCACUUGAUAACGGGAUCACAUCAUUAGGAGAAUCAUGUGAUGGACUAGACCCAAACUAAUAGACGUAGCAUGUUGAUCGUGUCAUUUUGUUGCUACUGUUUUCUGCGUGUCAAGUAUUUGUUCCUAUGACCAUGAGAUCAUAUAACUCACGGACACCGGAGGAAUGCUUUGUGUGUAUCAAACGUCGCAACGUAACUGGGUGACUAUAAAGNNNNNNNNNNNNNNNNNNNNNNNNNNNNNNNNNNNNNNNNNNNNNNNNNNNNNNNNNNNNNNNNNNNNNNNNNNNNNNNNNNNNNNNNNNNNNNNNNNNNCGUUCCAGCGCCACCGGCUGGGUCGCCUGGGGCAUCAACCCCGGCGGCGCCGGCAUGGCCGGCAGCAACGUCUUCCUCGCCUCGCAGGGCGGCGGCGGCGGCGCCGCCGUCUCCGUGCUCACCACCGUCCUGAGGAGCACGGCCCCGGCCCUGGACAACACCACCCUCCAGUUCGGCGUGCCGGUGCCGCCCACCGCCGAGUACGCGGCCGGCGCCUACACGAUCUACGUGACGGUGGCGCUGCCGGGGAACUCCACGCAGCAGAACACGGUGUGGCAGGCGGGGCCGGUCAGCGGCGGGGCCAUAAUGCCGCACCCGGUGUCCGGGCCCAACUUGCAGAGCGUUAAGAGGCAGGACUUCCUGUCCGGCUAGAGCGCCCGACGAGGCAUAUGUUUGUACGCAAAUACUGUCAGUGUCAUGAUCAUGGAGUAUAAAAUAAAUCGCACGGCUUAUUCCUCAUGUUCCUGCUAUUAGACGUCGACGUCGUAUCAAAUGAAGUGUGCGCUAAACACUGUUUAUACGCUCCCAGCCGGAUUUAGGGACAUGGCUUACGGCGAUUAGUAUUUUUUUUCCGACGAAUUCACAAAGCUUUAUUAAUACUAGCAAAAGGGCCCGUGCGUUGCAACGGGAGAAAGAAAAUACCACACGCUUUUAAUCUUUUUAUAAUCAUUUUGAUUUAUUAGAAUAAUAAGUUAACUAACUAAUGUAGCCAGUCCUAUCCUAUUUUGUUGAGAAAUCAACCCGUCCAUUGUUAAUUCCACCGUGAUGAGAAAUCGAACGGGACAAGCAAAGCAAAACAAAGAGGCUACGUGAAUUGAUCAAUGGACUGUUAUCUUAUUUCACCCAUGGGGUAGAGAAUGUGGGAUCAGAUGACAAACUGAAGGUGGUGUUCCAUUUUCUCUCUCUACAACAAUGCAAUCUUACAUUCAAUACAUUCAUUCAUCAGCAAAAAAAUUCUCACAAAACAAAAUUUCUUGCCGGUGCUUGGCACACGGUUGGAGAGCAUGGGGAGGGGAUCUCACCAAAUGAUGAGUUCCUGCCGGAGGAGGGGAUACGAUGAGGGGAGCAAGGGUUAGGCGCCUCUAUCUGGCCAUAAGGAGUCGCCGUUGCCGCGCCAUAACCUCGGAGUUCCCCGUGUGAGCCAUGGAGGCCCGCCUCCACCUGCAAGUACUUCGCUCCGCCGCGCCUUAUCCGCACGCCGUCGCCGUUCUGCAUCGAGUAGACGCAUCAUCCCAAGUCGAUGUAGCUGUCGCGUUGAUUUGAUCCAGAAGCUGUGCUCGAGCGCCGAAACAGGGGCAACAAACGGGCAGAGGUACGACCGCGGAGGCGGCUGGGUUGAGAUCGACAACAAUGGUGGUUGAGGUCGGCCGCGGCGACGAGUGGUGUGGCAGCGGCCUGGGCACAGGCCAGGGUGGACCAGGGUCAACGCGAUGCGCUCGAGCGCCGCAACGGGGGCAGUGAGCGGGGAGAGGUACAACCGCGGAGGCGGGUGGGUUGAGAUCGGCAGCGGUGGCGGUUGAGGUCGGCCGCGACGGCGAGUGGUGUGGCGGCCGCCUAGGCAUAGGCCAGGGGUGGCCGAGGGUCGAUGGGAGGAGGCGGUGCGUACGGGUAUAAUUUUUGCAGCGAAUCGUUUUUUCCUUUUGCGAUUACGAGAAGUAAAUGAUGGAGUGCGGGUUGAAUAACAAAAAUUACAGUUUUUUWWUAAAAUGCCAUGAUGGGUUUUCCGACGGAAGCAAUAGCCGCUUUAUUAUUAGGUAUAGACUAGCAAAAGGUCCGUGGUUGCAACGGAAGAAAAAAUAUCACACGGUUUUAAUUUUUAUAAUCAUUUUAAUUUAUUAAAAUAAUAAGCUAACUAACUAAUGUAGUAAGUCCUAUCCUAUUUUGUUGGAAAAUCAACCCGUCCAUUGUUAAUUCCAUCAUGAUGAGAAAUUGAGCGGGACAAUCAAAGCAAAACAAAGAGGCUACCUGAAUUGAUCAAUGGACUGUUAUCUUAUUUCACUCAUGGGCUAGAGAAUGUGGGAUCAGAUGACAAACUGAAGGUGGUGUUCCAUUCUCUCUCUCUACAACAACGCAAUCUUACAUUAAAUACAUUCAUUCAUCAGCAAACAAAUUCCCACAAAACAAAAUUUCGUGCCGGUGCUUGGCACACGGUUGGAGGCAUGGGGAGGGGAUCUCACCAGAUGAUGAGUUCCUGCCGGAGGAGGGGAUACAUUGAGGGGAGCAAGGGUUAGGCGCCUCUAUCUGGCCAUAAGGAGUCGCCGUUGCCGCGCCAUAACCUCGGAGUUCCCCGUGUGAGCCAUGGAGGCCCGCCUCCACCUGCAAGUACUUCGCUCCGCCGCGCCUUAUCCGCACGCCGUCGCCGUUCUGCAUCGAGUAGACGCAUCAUCCCAAGUCGAUGUAGCUGUCGCGUUGAUUUGAUCCAGAAGCUGUGCUCGAGCGCCGAAACAGGGGCAACAAACGGGCAGAGGUACGACCGCGGAGGCGGCUGGGUUGAGAUCGACAACAAUGGUGGUUGAGGUCGGCCGCGGCGACGAGUGGUGUGGCAGCGGCCUGGGCACAGGCCAGGGUGGACCAGGGUCAACGCGAUGCGCUCGAGCGCCGCAACGGGGGCAGUGAGCGGGGAGAGGUACAACCGCGGAGGCGGGUGGGUUGAGAUCGGCAGCGGUGGCGGUUGAGGUCGGCCGCGACGGCGAGUGGUGUGGCGGCCGCCUAGGCAUAGGCCAGGGUGGCCGAGGGUCGAUGGGAGGAGGCGGUGCGUACGGGUAUAAUUUUUGCAGCGAAUCGUUUUUUCCUUUUGCAUUACAGAUAAAUGAUGGAGUGCGGGUUGAAUAACAAAAAUUACAGUUUUUUUAUAAAAUGCCAUGAUGGGUUUUCCGACGGAAGCAAUAGCCGCUUUAUUAUUAGGUAUAGACUAGCAAAAGGUCCGUGGUUGCAACGGAAGAAAAAAUAUCACACGGUUUUAAUUUUUAUAAUCAUUUUAAUUUAUUAAAAUAAUAAGCUAACUAACUAAUGUAGUAAGUCCUAUCCUAUUUUGUUGGAAAAUCAACCCGUCCAUUGUUAAUUCCAUCAUGAUGAGAAAUUGAGCGGGACAAUCAAAGCAAAACAAAGAGGCUACCUGAAUUGAUCAAUGGACUGUUAUCUUAUUUCACUCAUGGGCUAGAGAAUGUGGGAUCAGAUGACAAACUGAAGGUGGUGUUCCAUUCUCUCUCUCUACAACAACGCAAUCUUACAUUAAAUACAUUCAUUCAUCAGCAAACAAAUUCCCACUAAAACAAAAUUAACUUGUCGGUCGGCGUGUCGUCGACGUACGGUACGGGUCGGANNNNNNNNNNNNNNNNNNNNNNNNNNNNNNNNNNNNNNNNNNNNNNNNNNNNNNNNNNNNNNNNNNNNNNNNNNNNNNNNNNNNNNNNNNNNNNNNNNNNUGCAAGCRAUGUAACUUAGUGUAAGUUACGGGAUCUUGUAUUACGGAACGAGUAAAGAGACUUGCCGGUAAACGAGAUUAGAAAUAGGUAUGCGGAUACUGACGAUCGAAUCGUCGGGCAAGUAACAUACCGAAGGACAAAGGGAAUGACAUACGGGAUUAUACGAAUCCUUGGCACUGAGGUUCAAACGAUAAGAUCUUCGUAGAAUAUGUAGGAUCCAAUAUGGGCAUCCAGGUCCCGCUAUUGGAUAUUGACCGAGUAGUCUCUCGGGUCAUGUCUACAUAGUUCUCGAACCCGCAGGGUCUGCACACUUAAGGUUCGACGUUGUUUUAUGCGUAUUUGAGUUAUAUGGUUGGUUACCGAAUGUUGUUCGGAGUCCCGGAUGAGAUCACGGACGUCACGAGGGUUUCCGGAAUGGUCCGGAAACGAAGAUUGAUAUAUAGGAUGACCUCAUUUGAUUACUGGAAGGUUUUCGGAGUUACCGGGAAUGUACCGGGAAUGACGAAUGGGUUCCGGGAGUUCACCGGGGGGGGCAACCCACCCCGGGGAAGCCCAUAGGCCAUAAGGGUGGAGCACCAUCCCUUAGUGGGCUGGUGGGGCAGCCCAAAAGGGCCCUAUGCGCCAAGGAUAAGAAAUCAAAGGAAAAAAAGGAGGAGGUGGGAAGGGAGGGGGACUCCCUCCCACCAAACCUAGUCCAACUCGGUUUUGGGGGGGGAGAGUCCUCCCCCUUGGCUCGGCCGACCCCCUUGAGGGUCCUUGGACCCCAAGGCAAGGCCCCUCCCUCCCACCUAUAUAUACGGAGGUUUUAGGGCUGAUUUGAGACGACUUUUCCACGGCAGCCCGACCACAUACCUCCACGGNNNNNNNNNNNNNNNNNNNNNNNNNNNNNNNNNNNNNNNNNNNNNNNNNNNNNNNNNNNNNNNNNNNNNNNNNNNNNNNNNNNNNNNNNNNNNNNNNNNNGAGAUAUAGUGAGUUGACUAUUUAACCUCAUCCAAGGACCUCCUCGGUCAAAUCCGAUUCAACUAAAGUWGGAGAAACCGUCACUUGCCAGUCAUCUUUGAGCAAAGGGGGUUACUCGUAACGAUGAAACCAGUCUCUCGUAAGCGUACGAGUAAUGUCGGUCCAAGCCGCUUCAAUCCAACAAUACCGCGGAAUCAAGAAAAGACUAAGGAGGGCAGCAAAACGCACAUCACCGCCCACAAAAACUUUUGUGUUCUACUCGAGAAGACAUCUACGCAUGAACCUAGCUCAUGAUGCCACUGUUGGGGAACGUCGCAAGGGAAACAAAAAUUUUCCUACGCGCACGAAGACCUAUCAUGGUGAUGUCCAUCUACGAGAGGGGAUGAGUGAUCUACGUACCCUUGUAGACCGUACAGAAGAAGCGUUAGAGAACGCGGUUGAUGUAGUGGAACGUCCUCACGUCCCUCGAUCCGCCCCGCGAACAAUUCCGCGAUCAGUCCCACGAUCUAGUUACCGAACGGACGGCAACCUCCACGUUCAGCACACGUACAGCUUGACGAUGAUCUCGGCCUUCUUGAUCCAGCAAGAGAGGCGGAGAGGUAGAAGAGUUCUCCGGCAGCGUGACGGCGCUCCGGAGGUUCGGUUGACUGACCCUUCGUUCCUACGUACGUCCGACGGGCGUCCCGUCCCGGACGCUGNNNNNNNNNNNNNNNNNNNNNNNNNNNNNNNNNNNNNNNNNNNNNNNNNNNNNNNNNNNNNNNNNNNNNNNNNNNNNNNNNNNNNNNNNNNNNNNNNNNNAGCAAUGUAACUUAAUGUAAGUUGCGGGAUCUUGUAUUACGGAACGAGUAAAGAGACUUGCCGGUAAACGAGAUUGAAAUAGGUAUGCGGAUACUGACGAUCGAAUCUCGGGCAAGUAACAUACCGAAGGACAAAGGGAAUGACAUACGGGAUUAUAUGAAUCCUUGGCACUGAGGUUCAAACGAUAAGAUCUUCGUAGAAUAUGUAGGAUCCAAUAUGGGCAUCCAGGUCCCGCUAUUGGAUAUUGACCGAGGAGUCUCUCGGGUCAUGUCUACAUAGUUCUCGAACCCGCAGGGUCUGCACACUUAAGGUUCGACGUUGUUUUAUGCGUAUUUGAGUUAUAUGGUUGGUUACCGGUAMUGUAGCAUCAUUCCCACUCUUCUUUUGUACUGAUUUUGUUUUUUUUCAGAUUUCUUCAUUUCAUUGUUUCCACUGUUUCGCUUUGGUUUCCUUCGAUUUUCUUCGGGUUUCUAUUCGUUUCCUUYGUUUYCYAACGGUUUUUCGUUUUUCCUCUUUGUUGUUUCUUUCUUUUUUUUCUAUGGUUUUGCAUCUUUUUUAACUCAUGUCUAUUUUUUUACACACAAUGUACAUUUUUUGUAUACAUCAGAAAUAACUUUUAUACAUGGUUAAAUAUAUGAUUACCAGUUUUCUUAAACACAUGUUUCGANNNNNNNNNNNNNNNNNNNNNNNNNNNNNNNNNNNNNNNNNNNNNNNNNNNNNNNNNNNNNNNNNNNNNNNNNNNNNNNNNNNNNNNNNNNNNNNNNNNNCGGAACGAAACGUAAAACUAAAACUUACCGUACGACCGACCGAACGAACGUAACCUACUACUAGUGGUGAUCGUCCAUCUACGAGGAGGGAGUGAGUGAUCUACGUACCUAGUAGAUCGUACAGCAGAAGCGUUAGAGAACGCGGUUGAUGUAGUGGAACGUCCUCACGUCCCUCGAUCCGCCCCGCGAACAAUCCCGCGAUCAGUCCCACGAUCUAGUACCGAACGGACGGCACCUCCGCGUUCAGCACACGUACAGCUCGACGAUGAUCUCGGCCUUCUUGAUCCAGCAAGAGAGACGGAGAGGUAGAAGAGUUCUCCGGCAGCGUGACGGCGCUCCGGAGGUUGGUGAUGAUCUUGUCUCAGCAGGGCUCCGCCCGAGCUCCGCAGAAACACGAUCUAGAGGAAAAACUAUGGAGGUAUGUGGUCGGGCAGCCGUGAGAAAGUCGUCUCAAAUCAGCCCUAAUACCUCAGUAUAUAUAGGAGGGAGGGGAGGGAAGAGGCAGCCUCAAACCCUCAAGGUUGCCGAAAUUGGAGGUGGAGGAGUCCUACUCCAAUCCUACUUGAGUAGGAUUCCACCUUCCCACUUCGAAACUACUUUCCUACCUUGUGUUUUUCUUUCUUCUAACCUUAACUUAGGUCCGUUACGUUGGGUACGUUAGUUACUACGNNNNNNNNNNNNNNNNNNNNNNNNNNNNNNNNNNNNNNNNNNNNNNNNNNNNNNNNNNNNNNNNNNNNNNNNNNNNNNNNNNNNNNNNNNNNNNNNNNNNAAGGGUUGGGUUUGAGGGAUUCUGUUAUAAGGGUUGCAUUUGAGGGUUCUAGUCUUUGCCUCAAUCCCAACCCUUAAAACUGUCAUUUGAUAUAUCAUAAUUUUCAUCAUCUCAAUAACAUCGAAUAGUAUUUUCAAACACAUAAUAUUAAUUCAAUUUAUUACAACAAUGUUUUAAAGCAAAUUAUAAUAAUUGUUUGAAUCAAAUAGAACAUGGAAAAGUAAACAAAGGUAGAUCAUGGGACUUGGCGCCGUCCAGCCAACUGCCACUGGUGCUCUACUUGAUCAUCCCGGAGCUGCCACUGGUACGCACUAAACCCCAUGAUACCGACGGCGUAUCUACGAUGCUUGAAGUAAUCUGAGUCAGCCUCACAAUCGGUGACAAUUUUUACAAACAAACUACGACACAUUCGGUACCUUCUCCGGAAGAGGCGAGGUGGGUAUGUCGGUACCUCCGCGAAGUAGUCUCGCAUCAAAUGUUCAUGUCCGAGACAGCGGUUCCGGUAGAUGGUGACUCGCGCCAUCUUCGACCCUCUCCUCUGAUCCAUCAGCUUCACGCGGUCUUCAAACUCUUUCACGUCGACGAGGAGGCCCAUCAUCUCGAUGUCAUUGUCUUGAAGCAAGUCCUCAAUGUCCGAAUCGUCCGAUGACGACCAACCGGAAUCAUCGGACAACACAUCCAUCUACACAACACAAAACAAAAAAUGUAGUGUUGUUCUGUAACAAAAAUACAGGAAACAGGGCCGGCCGGAGCCCACGAUGGAGGAGGCCGACGGUGUGGACGAGCUCAGGGCGGUGGAGGAGCUCGGGGNNNNNNNNNNNNNNNNNNNNNNNNNNNNNNNNNNNNNNNNNNNNNNNNNNNNNNNNNNNNNNNNNNNNNNNNNNNNNNNNNNNNNNNNNNNNNNNNNNNNUUUUUUUUUUUUUUUUUACAACAGUUUGCACUUUGCAGCGGCCUAGAUAUCACAGCAGGAACCGGUCUCCCUCCCUCGGUUAUUCAGCGCCUUUUUUUAGACGAAGGUUUAUCGUUCAGCAGCCAACAAGACUCUGUCCCGCGUACCGGCGUGGAAGUUUCCACCCGCACGGCAACCUCCCCAACAACCGCGCCAUCACGUCGCCGGCUCGCCGGCAGUGGUACAUAUACCUCCUCCCCCCCCACCUCCUCCUCUCACCACCACCAGCUCCCAGCACCACCAUCUCCAUCGCCUCCCGCGCUCCAUUUCGCGCCUCGAACCUCGUGCUCUGACCUCCACCGCUGCCAUGGCGCGGCCAGGCCACUCCACGGCGUGGCUCCCCGUCCUGGUGCUGCUGCUCUCCGCGGCGGGCGCGACGGCGCAGAGCUGCCUCUCCGCGACCUUCACGUCCGGCCGCACGUUCCUCAAGUGCAACCAGCUGCCCGUGCUCGGCGCCAGCCUCCACUGGACGUUCCACGCCCAGAACGGCACCGCCGACGUCGCGUUCCGGGCCCCGUCCGGCGCCGACGGGUGGGUCGCCUGGGGCAUCNNNNNN
rnacentral:lncRNA from 1 species